UCUCUUGCUUUCCCUCUCUCGCUUCUUUCAAGAAGAAUCCUCUCUAGGUUUUCACUUAUCUUCAUAACUGGUCUCUCUUCGUAUAAUUUCUUCCUCUUUCCCGAUAUUUCGUAACCCUAACUCUCUUCAUCUUAGCAGACCCCGUUUGGCUUAGGGUUUGAAGUUCGGAGUCGAGUCGAACCCGAUCAAUCCUCUCAUUUGUUAUCAGGUCCAUUCCAUUGAUGUACGAAGGGAGUUGGCGCCAAAUUUUGGGUCAAUAUGGGGUUUGAUAACGAGUGCAUACUAAACAUUCAAUCUCUCGCUGGAGAAUACUUCUGUCCAGUAUGUCGAUUGCUUGUCUAUCCAAAUGAAGCAUUACAGUCACAGUGCACUCAUUUAUACUGCAAACCUUGUUUGGCAUACGUUGUGAGCACCACCCGGGCCUGUCCUUAUGAUGGCUAUUUGGUGACAGAGGCGGAUUCUAAGCCACUAAUAGAAUCAAAUAAAGCGCUAGCGGAAACCAUAGGCAAAAUAGCGGUUCAUUGUCUCUAUCACAGGAGUGGAUGCCAAUGGCAGGGUCCUCUAUCUGAAUGCAUUUCUCAUUGUUCUGGGUGUGCCUUUGGCAAUUCGCCAGUUGUGUGCAACAGGUGUGGAGUUCAAAUUGUGCAUCGUCAAGUGCAAGAACAUGCUCAAAACUGCCCUGGUGUGCAGUCUCAAACACAGCAGGCAGAGGGUGUGCAGGAUGCUGCAGCACAAGGGGCAGCUGCUGCUGCUGAUCAGAGCCAGACUGCUGCACAGGCUGGAGCUCUAGCUUCUCAGACACAACCUGCUCAAAUUACACCUGCUUCUGCGCCUGUGCAGGAUCUAAAUCAGCAGGUCAAUUCUACUGCUCAGGCUGCCGCACCGACUCCUGAACAGUGGUAUCAACAACAACAACAACAAUAUCAGCAAUACUACCAGCAGUAUCCUGGAUAUGACCCUUAUCAGCAGCAUUAUCAGCAGUAUUACCCUUAUCAGCAACAGGCUGUUCAGUAUCAGCAUCCUCAUAUGCAGCCUCAUACUGCACAAUUAUCUGGGCAGCCCCAACCCCAACCCCAACCCCAACCCCAGGCCCAACUACAGCCACUUGUUCAGCCACAACCCCAAACCCAACCCCAGCUUCAGCCACAGCCACAGCCCCAAACCCAACCCCAACUUCAGCCCCAGCCCCAACAACAGCCCCAGAUGCAGCCGCAGCAACAGCCCCAGCCACAACUCCAAUCCCAGCCCCCGGCGCAGGCUCAGCUCCAACCGCAACCUCAACCUCUACUUCAGGCACAGACACAGGCACAAACACAGACACAACCACAACCCCAUUCACUUGUUCAGGCGCCAGUGGCUGUUCAACAUCAAAACCAAGUAGCUAACCAACAGGCACAAAAUCACCCUGUAGCGCAGCAACAUUCUCAAAUUCAAUCACAGACUCAUCCACCACACCAUGGACACCAACAUCCUCAGACUCUGCAGUAUCCCCAAGCUCAAUCACAUCCACAGCCCCAUUCUGUCCAGCCUCGUCCACAACAACAUCUGCAAUUGCCACAAUAUCAGCAGCCUCAUCCUCCAAUGCCACAUCCGCAGUCCCAAAUUCAGCGCCAGCCCAACUCUCAGCUUCUUCCCCAGCAUCAUCACCUGCCCCAGCCCCAGACCCAGCCUCUUUCACAAACCCAGCAGCCCACACUUCAACCCCACCCCCAGCCUCAUCCCCAUCCCCAUGCCCUUCCCCAACAUCACCCUUCUCAACCCAACCAGACUCCAAAUCCUAAUCCUCAGUCUCAGACACAGCCUCCAUCAGCCCAUGCAGUAACGGGCCAUCACUCCUUUCCACAACCCCGGCCCCAGCAGCAAAUGCCUUUGGGGGGCAUGCAGCAGCAACCUAUGCAUAUGCAUCCUCAGGCUCAAUUCCCCCAGCAAUCUCCUCAGAUGCGCCCUUCCCAGGCUCAUGCUCAAAGUCAGCAGCAGUCGGCUUUGUUGCCUUUACCAGGUCAAGCCCAAAAUGUCCUCCCUCCACAGCAGCUACCGGUCCAUCCUCAUCAGCAAGCAGGUCAUCCAGUCCACCAGCGUGCUGCCAUGCAGCCAAUUCAGCAGUCAUUGCCUCACCAGUUUGUCCAGCAGCCACCAUUAGGCACUGGUCAGAAUCAAUUACAUCAGCAAGGGUCUUUCAUGCAACCACCAACACCAACAAUGCAGUCUCAGUUGCGCCCCCAGGCCCCACCUCAAUCAUGGCAGCAACAUUCUCAUGCCUAUCCACAGCCCCAACAGAAGGUUGCAAUGUUGCAUGGCAUGCAACCUCAGCUGCCUCAGAAUGUUGGAAGGCCUGGGAUGCCAAAUCAAGGGGUACAACCACAGCCAUUUCCACAAUCUCAAGCUGGACUUUCUGGUGCCGUUCAGCUUAGGCCGAUGCAUCUUGGGCCUAACCAGCCAUCUGCAAAUCAGACACUGGGCCAACACUUGGAACAGUCUGCUCAUCCACAACCUGGGUUGAAUGUAAAACAAACUACGUUUGAGAAGCCAGGUGAUGAUUUGUCCAAGAAAGGUGUAGGUGGGCAAGAAGGUGAAUCAUUCUCUGAGAAAACCGCUAGAGAGGAUGCGAAUGGUGUGGCUGCAACAUCUGGUAUAGAAUCUAAUACAGUUGAAAUAAAAUCUGAGACAGAUAUGAAAUCCAUGGAUGAGAAACAGAAAACUACUGGUGAAGAUGAGGAUACAAUUAGUAGGAUUAAUAAUUCUGCCAAGGAGAUUCCGGAGUCUAUGCGAGCAUUAGGUUCAGAUCCAGUGCAACAAGCAUCGGAAGAUGGAGAGCCUGUUAUCAAGCAGAUGGUGAAGGAAGAGGUUAUCAAGAGUACAGUAGAGCGUUCACCUGGUGGCAAAUCAAUUGGUAUUGUAGUUGAGGACCAGAAAGAUGAACUCAGUGUCCCUCCUAAACAAGUGGAGCAAGUGGAGCAUUCUUUGCUGCAAGACAAGGAAAUUCAGAAUGGCCUCCUGAUGAAAAACCCCACUAUACAACAAGUGGAGAUUCUUGAUGAAAUGGGUGGAAAGUUGCAGAAGGAUUCAGGGGAUGCCAGUGGGGUCAUGCAGCUUUUCACUGCCACCAAUAGGGGCACAGAAGCUGUUCCUCCAGCUCCAAUUCCUGAUAGCUCUGCUCAAAAUGCUACACCUAGAGGUUCUGUUUCAGUGAGUGAGAGAAAAAUGUUAAAUCAACCUGGUAAUCAGGAAAGGAAUUUGCUUCAAGCCCCAACUAUGCCUCAAGGUCCCAGUAAUGAUGAAUACAGAGGCUUUCCUCCACCUAGUCAGGUGCAAGGCAGGGGCUUUGUGCCCCUUCCUCAUCCAGUGCCAAUUUUGGAUGGGGGAAGGCAUCAGCCACCACCAAUGCAAUAUGGUCCCACUGUCCAGCAAAGGCCUGCAGCGCCUUCUAGCGGACAAGCAAUGCCGCCUCCUGGUCUUGUACAUAAUGCACCAGUGCCAGGUCAACCUUCCACCCAAUUGCAGCCUCAGGCCCUGGGACUCUUACCACAUCCAGCACAACAGUCACGUGGUUCUUUUCAUCAUGAAAUCCCUCCAGGUGGUAUCCUAGGUCCAGGUUCUGCAGCAUCCUUUGGUAGGGGACUGAGUCAUUUUGCUCCUCCUCAAAGAAGCUUUGAACCGCCAUCUGUUGUUUCUCAAGGGCAUUAUAAUCAAGGUCAUGGUCUCCCUUCCCAUGCUGGGCCCUCAAGAAUCUCUCAAGGUGAACUUAUUGGAAGACCUCCACUGGGCCCACUGCCAGCUGGUUCAUUCGAUUCACAUGGUGGAAUGAUGGUAAGAGCUCCUCCGCAUGGUCCUGAAGGUCAGCAGCGGCCUGUUAAUCCAGUGGAAUCUGAAAUAUUUUCAAAUCCAAGGCCCAACUACUUUGAUGGCAGACAAUCUGAUUCACAUAUUCCUGGGUCUUCAGAACGGGGUCCAUUUGGGCAGCCCUCUGGUAUCCAAUCGAAUAUGAUGAGAAUGAAUGGUGGGCUGGGCAUUGAAUCUUCGUUACCAGUUGGAUUGCAGGAUGAAAGGUUCAAAUCUCUACCUGAACCUGGUCGACGAAGUUCCGAUCAUGGAAAGUUUGCAGAAGAUCUCAAGCAAUUCUCUAGGUCUUCUCAUUUGGAUUCUGAUCUUGUUCCAAAAUUUGGGAAUUACUUUUCAUCUUCAAGGCCACUUGACAGGGGUUCUCAAGGAUUUGUUAUGGAUGCUGCCCAGGGGCUUCUUGACAAGGCACCUCUUGGAUUCAAUUAUGAUUCUGGCUUUAAAUCCAGUGCUGGCACUGGCACUUCAAGGUUCUUUCCUCCUCCUCAUCCAGGUGGUGAUGGAGAGAGAUCCCGAGCAGUUGGUUUUCAUGAAGAUAAUGUUGGAAGAUCAGAUAUGGCUCGUACUCAUCCAAAUUUUCUUGGAUCUGUUCCUGAAUAUGGUCGGCAUCAUAUGGAUGGUUUAAAUCCACGAAGCCCAACCAGAGAGUUCUCUGGCAUUCCCCAUCGUGGAUUUGGUGGCCUUUCUGGUGUUCCUGGCAGACAGUCAGACCUAGAUGAUAUAGAUGGCCGUGAAUCACGUCGAUUUGGCGAAGGAUCCAAAACCUUCAACCUACCCUCUGAUGAAAGUAGGUUUCCAGUUUUGCCCAGCCACUUGCGUAGAGGUGAGCUUGAAGGUCCUGGGGAAUUGGUGAUGGCUGAUCCUAUAGCAUCUAGACCUGCUCCCCACCAUUUGAGGGGUGGUGAUUUAAUUGGUCAAGAUAUUCUUCCUAGCCAUUUGCAGAGGGGUGAACAUUUUGGUUCUCGGAAUAUCCCUGGUCAGUUGCGGUUUGGAGAGCCAGUUUUUGAUGCCUUUCUCGGUCAUCCACGGAUGGGGGAACUGUCUGGGCCUGGAAACUUCCCUUCGCGCCUAUCAGCUGGUGAAUCAUUUGGAGGAAGCAACAAGUCAGGCCAUCCACGAAUUGGUGAGCCUGGAUUUAGGAGCACCUAUUCUCUCCAUGGCUAUCCAAAUGAUCAUGGAUUCAGGCCUCCUGGUGACAUGGAGUCUUUUGAUAACUCAAGAAAGAGGAAGCCACUAAGUAUGGCAUGGUGCCGCAUUUGUAACAUUGACUGUGAAACAGUGGAUGGUUUGGAUAUGCAUUCACAGACAAGGGAGCACCAACAGAUGGCUAUGGAUAUUGUCUUAAGCAUCAAGCAGCAGAAUGCAAAAAAACAGAAAUUGACUUCCAAGGAUCACUCAACCCCUGAAGAUUCAAGCAAAUCAAAGAAGGGUGUCUUGAGGGGCGCAGGAAUAAGCAUUAAGCCAUAGUAGUGCUGGAAACUGGACUGAAAUGGGUUCACUGCUGACCUGUGAUUGGAUUUGGUUCUAUGGUACUUAUGGUUUUAGCAAUAUAGGUGAUUCACAUUCCAUGCCUUCUUUCUUUUCUCGGGAUGGUUUAUGGUAGUUCUGUCAUUUCUGGUUGCUGCAAGGAGUUUUUUUUGGAUCUGGAGUUUCAUGGCAAUCUUUUCAAUUCAACCCCCGUCUUUUUCGGAGAAGCAGACGACAUAAGCGCUGAAAGUUCAGCAGAGAGGUUUACUCAGGUCAUAUAUUUUUUUUGGAUGUGGUAAGAUUAUGUUCAAUGCACAGAUUUUCUUUGCAUCAAAAUUUGGUUUUUAGUUGUGAUUUCCUUGAACUAAUGACUUGUUGGGGUCAGUUAUACUCUUUUGCCUUGCCAACCAACUGAAUCUUUUAGAGUUCAAUAUCUCAAUAUGAAAUCUAGAUUUUGUAGGGUAACAUAUUGAUAUUAGGAAAGUCUUGAGGUUUCAUGUUUGGUAUUGGAUAUUGUUGAACACCAUAUGUUGAUUUUUAGGUUUCUAAUUAUUUUGUAUGACAAUUUAAUAUUUUUGUCUGGUUAAUUUCAUUAACUGUGACAAAUUGAGUCCUGAUUAUUAUGCUGUUGUGCUACAAAUGGGCGAAGGACUAUUCUUUAUUUGUUCUUGUAAUAUAGCCCUAGGAUUGAACAAAUACUCAUCCCUAUUCCCUGAGAAGUUAACAAACACACAUUCCUGUUGUCUAAGCUUAUUUAAUUUAGAAAGUUUGGUAAAUUCAGGACAGUUGAUAGGUACUUAAUGUCUAAAAUUUAAUCUAAAUGGUUAAAAAUCAUAUUUCUUGGAAUCUUUCAGUUAUAUCACUUGGAUAUCCCUUGUCUUUUUUAUGUACUUGUAAGUAUGUGAUGAAGACUGGCUUACAGUGGAAAUUCAUUGAGGAGUUUUAGAGGUGUGAGGAUACAAGCUUAAUCAAGCAGAGUUUUGAGCCUUUGCAAAUUUGGAAUUCGACAUUUGAAACUAGCUUAUCAUGUGCAAGCAACUAAUUUGAGGGUGUUGUGAUGUGCAAUAUUUCAUAGUAAAUGGCAUACCAUGUACUGCAUCCAUUAUAGGUAAUAUUGGAUAGGAUUGAUCAAAAUUGUGGGGGUAGGCUAUUGUAUUAUCAUAUAAGUGACGUGAGCAGAAUUUUUCAGUGCUUGCCAACAAUUAAGAUAUGAGUUCAAUUUUGUACAGCCCAAUUACUAACUUUAUUUAAGUAGAAAUUCAUAUUCUUACAACCUAGGUUUUAUGUGAAUAUCCUUUGAAAACUACUCAUUCUUAAUUGUCUUGGAACUACAGGAAUAUGUACGUUUAAAUAGCUUUAUUCCUCAGGUGAUUCUGUGCCGUGUUGUUUUGAUUUUUUUCAUGUUUAUUAUACCUUGGGUGAUUUUCUGCCAUUUCAUUCUGAUUUUUAGAUGUUUAUUUACUCUAAAAACAAAAGAGAGCAUAGUUUUUCAAGUAGUCUAUUGUUAGAAAGUAGUGGAGAAAAUGGUUCUGGGUCUGUUUUUGUGUUGGGCAAAUUACAGGCAUUAUGAAGAAUAAAGAUGUGAAACCCAGCAGAAGCUAGCUUAUUUUGCUCCAAUUAAUGAAUCUGAGGCUCUAAGAAAGCCCACAUGGUAAUUGUUUUAAGGUAGGCACUAUAUCCUCUACUUCCACUAUUAAGGGAUGCAGUGAUACAUAAGCUUUAGGUGAAAUAUUGAAUACAACUGGACAAAACAAGGGAGGAGGUGUGGUGGGGGCCAGCACAAUCCCCCUUUUGAAACAUAAUUGAGAAGAAUAAUUUUUAUGUCUUGUGAUUCGUCCAUCCUAAAAUAAGCAUGUUGAGUUUAUAAUGCUAUAUGAUUGAUUGAAUUAAGGUUUAGGAAUAAAAUAUUUAGCACAGGUUUAUGUAUAGUACAUGGGGUUGUUCUAUGUUCGCAGUUUUGAAAUUAUAGAGUUGACCUGAAAUUGACUGGUUGUUGAAGUAAUGUGUCAGGUUUGAGAGUUUUUCUCAAUGUGCUGGUUUGACCAAAUUAAUUAGAAUAUUUUAUUCAAGGGUUGUCUGGGUUGGUGCUUCUGGACGAGUUGUCCUUAGGUCAAAUGGCUGGUUGAACUGGACAUGAACUUGUUCUAGAUUUGACCCUGAACUGUUGGUUGGAAUAUUAAUGGGUCAGGUUACGCAUUUUGCUGAUUGUGCUUUGUAUUGAUCAAGCAUUUUAUUUUUCAUGGUUUUGAUCAACAUGAAUUAUCUCUUUCAUUAAUAAUUGGAUUUCUCUUAGGCUUACAAACUUAUCCUGAAUUCUACCCUAUUAUAUUGUCCUUGUAAUAAACUUUGCUGGGUUCAUGCUGCACCAUUAAGAUUAUCGAUCUAUAUGUGGCUUUAGACUUGUCUAAGCCUCUUUUAUUGCUUGUUCUCUUAGCAGUAAUUAUUUCAAUGGCACAAGUUUGGGGCAAGGGCCUUUUUAUGGAACAAGACCUGGACAUGAAGGGCUCAUGGCAUUAUUAUGAUGAUGAUGAUGAUCAUUAUUAUUCUAAAAUAAACUUCCUUGCCCAAAGCCCAAAGAACAAAAAAAAUUUCAAGAAUGAGCUUUUGAGAGUAUGAUCUGAUUGCUCCAUGGUUUAAGAGAGACUACGUGUCCAGUCCUUUCAAAUAGUGUGAAAUAAACACAAUGGGACAGUCCUUGCCUUCCUAUGGUUUUUCCUGACCACUGUCCCAUGUCAACUUUGAAGUGUCUCUUACCAAAAAGGGCGACACCCGCCCGACGCAAAAGGAAGAAAAUACCAAAUGCAACAAUAUCUGAAGAAGAACAUUGAUUCUUCACCGCCCUUGGAAAUGUGACAUUUAUUCAUCCAAGGUCCAUCCUCUCCUUCUUGACUGAACCAAAGUUAAAUUCUCCCUGAGACAGAUUGGGAGAGAAUACUGACUAGGAUUUUUUCCAUCCUUGUAAUUCCAUCCAAAACAAUCUCUCUUCCUCAUUUCACCGAUUUCUCUUGCAGUUUGAAAAGAAACGCCAUAACACUUUCUAGUUCCCAUUCAUGAAAUUGUCUUAAGAAACAGGAUCUUCAAUGCCCUUUCUCACCUUACUUAUCCACACAUCUACAACCUAAGCAUCCUUUGAAGUAGCUGUGAUAAACAGAAAAGGAAAGAAGAUGCCCAAGGUUGAAUCAUCACAUCAAAUAUUCUUUUAAUAUUUCACUCUCCUUUCAUCUCCCAUAGUUAGGCAUGUUCCACAUUUAAAAUAUGAGCAGAAAAGAAGAAUAUGUUCUUUUCCAUCCUUUCCAUAAAUUGUUAGUUUUCAAAUUUUUUCCUCAAACCUUAAAUCAUUUGUCCAACCUUGUUCAUCACGAUUUUGAGACCCCUUAAUUAUUUAUGCCAUCAUCAUUAGAGAAAUGUUUGAUUGAGGUGCUACUUUGUUUAUCAUCAAAAGAUUUUACAUUAAUUGAGUACCUAGUUGUAGCAUUAGCAUGACUACAAGUCUUAAGUUGUAGUUGUUUGGCAGACUGUUAACUUGGCCAUCUAGGACUUCAUACUUUCCCUCCACCAGGUUUGUAUUUCUCCUGUUGCAAUCUUUGAAAUUUGCUAUGUGGUACAUUGAAGCUGAAGCUAAUGUUACUUUUUGUUGACCUUCACCUGUAGUUAUAUGAUAUAUGUUAUAUUAAAUAUUGUGUCGACCUUCAUCUUGUUUUUUGCUUUCACAAGCAUGAUGGCUUGUUCCUGUUUAUAAUUUUGUUCACUUCAUGUACGACUGAAUGGGAAAAGGGUCAUGAACUUCAUAUUCAAUGCUAAUGAAUUGUUUCAUCUC